GCCCGCCUAGCUCAAUCGGCCAGAGCGUCAGACUUUUAAGGCGGGUGUAAAAUUCGUCAGAGUCAUCUGAAGGCUGCGAGUUCGACCCUCGCGGUGGGCU